UACGAAGGGGGCUAGCGUUGUUCGGAAUUACUGGGCGUAAAGGGCGCGUAGGCGGACUGUGAAGUCAGGGGUGAAAUCCCGGGGCUCAACCUCGGAAUUGCCUUUGAUACUGGCGGUCUUGAGGACGGGAGAGGGUCGUGGAAUUCCCAGUGUAGAGGUGAAAUUCGUAGAUAUUGGGAAGAACACCGGUGGCGAAGGCGGCGACCUGGACCGUAUCUGACGCUGAGGCGCGAAAGCGUGGGGAGCAAACAGG
rnacentral:rRNA from 1 species